rnacentral:tRNA from 1 species
AGUUUUUAAGCUCCAAAGCAUAUAUUUUGAAAAUAUAAAUAAGAAAUUAAUAUAUUUCUAUAAACUU